rnacentral:lncRNA from 1 species
CCGUUCUUGACCUCGCGUAAACCUUAACAUGCGUUAACGCGGUUGUGCGUACAUAUAUUUGCAGACGUACGGGGCGACAGUUUAAUGUGUAUUGACAAGCGACACCCCCUCACCUCUCUAAAGUCACACACAAGCAUGCGCGACUCCAAACAGACUGCAGUAACACAACAUUAAGCGGUUUUCUCUUCUCUGUUAUCUGCAGCUUCCUUUUUGCCCUUUGGUUAAACAUUCUCUUGGCAUGCAUGAUCUCAUUUAACUUUGAUUUCCUUCUUUUUUUUUCCAGGACAGCAUUCUUGAUGGUUCCAAUUUCCAACCCAUUCCCCAAUUUUCAACUCCAAUGACAGGCAACACAUGCAGGAAUGGCUGUUUAGCUACAGAAGGGAGCUGCGUCACUCACGUCACCACCAGCGUUGGCCUAAUAUCAUCCUCCUGAACCCACACAGCAUUCUACUCCACGGCGAUUCACCUCGGCAGAUCCCAGCGCAGCCGGCAUGUCGAGACACGGCCCCGGUUUAGAGAGGGUGAAAAUGUUUGGGUGGCUCAACCCUUUCAAAUUAAAUGGAGGGCAUCAUCAGAAGUGAUUAAAAAGGGUGGAAGACAGCGUGUGUGUGUGUGUGUGAAAUGUCAGGACGAGUUCGUACAGGCUGGAUGACCUGCACCCAGAGCCAGGAAGCUUAUUAGCAUUUCAGCGCAUAGCAACCUGCUUAGCCCCAAGCACUGAUCUUAACACUAUCUGUCUAAAACCCCUCUCUCUCUCUCUCUCUCUCUCUCGCGCUCUCUUUCUCUAUCGUUUCUCUCUCUCCUCCUGCAUGGGCUAAUCCCCCCCCAACAUUCAUGUCAAGCUGGUGGUUCAGUCACGUCAGGAAUGCUUCUGUGGGUUAAUGUGGAAUCGGAGCCGGGGCUGGGGAUGUUUGUACACCGCACUUUGAUAAGUCGAAUGUCAUUCGAAUGCGGCGCGGCAAAGGUGAUGCCGAGUUCUCGCUUAUCCGCUCGUGGCAUCAGAUCGGAGUGUUGAAAUAAGCUAGAGCUGCGGUUUCAAACCGAGGCGGAGAACGACUUUGAGUCAGGCUCAUUAAAAUGCUAGAAUUCCUGUCAUGUUUGUACUGAGAGAAAGGAUUAUUCAUUUCGUUUUUAUUGCGUUAACAGUGUAUUUUUUCCCUCCUCGCGAAGCCAAGGUUUGCUCAGAGGCUAAUUCAAAGCACCUCAGUCACUGUUUGCCUACGUGUAGACAAGCUGUUUAAACUCAUAGAGAUCUGUCUGCACUCUCCUUUACUUUUAAUCUGGGUCGAUCCUUGGUCUCAACACCAUCUUUGUCUCCAUUGGUCCGGACUUGAAAGAAGGAGAAGUUAAAAUUUCAGCAUAUGGACUUGUUGAAGUGCACAUUUCAUCCUCCUCCGCGGAUUUUAUAAUAGAGAUAAUAUCCACCUUUCACCACUCG